rnacentral:rRNA from 1 species
ACUCCUACGGGAGGCAGCAGUGGGGAAUUUUGGACAAUGGGCGAAAGCCUGAUCCAGCAAUGCCGCGUGUGUGAAGAAGGCCUUCGGGUUGUAAAGCACUUUUGUCCGGAAAGAAAUCCUUGGCUCUAAUACAGUCGGGGGAUGACGGUACCGGAAGAAUAAGCACCGGCUAACUACGUGCCAGCAGCCGCGGUAAUACGUAGGGUGCGAGCGUUAAUCGGAAUUACUGGGCGUAAAGCGUGCGCAGGCGGUUUGCUAAGACCGAUGUGAAAUCCCCGGGCUCAACCUGGGAACUGCAUUGGUGACUGGCAGGCUAGAGUAUGGCAGAGGGGGGUAGAAUUCCACGUGUAGCAGUGAAAUGCGUAGAGAUGUGGAGGAAUACCGAUGGCGAAGGCAGCCCCCUGGGCCAAUACUGACGCUCAUGCACGAAAGCGUGGGGAGCAAACAGGAUUAGAUACCCUGGUAGUCCCA